rnacentral:lncRNA from 1 species
UUUAUUCAAUUUCAUAUUUAUUAUCUUUAAAGUGUGAUUAAUUAUCAUAACAACUUUUACUCAAUUUGGCCAGCUUUUACAACAAUAAUAUUUUGCAAUCUUCUCAAGACAGCGUUUAUACAAGAACGAACAGUAUUUAGUGGAAUAAUAUUCCAUUCCUUCACCAAAUCAUCCUUCAAUUAGUUAAUAUUUGGAUGAUCCAUACAAUUCACCUUUGUUCGAUUAAUAGCCAAUAUGAAAAAUCCUAGGGAUUUUUAUCUGGGCCUUGAGUGAUGUGAUAGUGCUCUAUCUGGAGUAAAGGUAUAUUUCUUCCCUUGGAAUACCUCUUGAACCCAAGGCAACCAUGUCAGUUCCAAUAUCAGCUGUUGGCAUAUCUCUGAAUUGAGUUUGAUCCCUUGUUGAAUGAAAAUAAGUGGAAACUUUGUAUCUUCACAUCCAGAAGUUAAACCAUAACUCCUACGUGCUUCUGACGCUGAUAGUGGGUUCUUGUUGCUGUGGGUAUUGAAGCAAUGUGGCAUGGUCAUUUUGGGGAUUAAAUGUAGUUUGGAUCGCGAAAUAUGUAUCAUCACUGGCAAUGAGAUUUUGAAGAAAUGACGCUUCUGCUAACAAUGGACAAUGCUCAUACAUCUUAAGAUCACCUUAAUAAUUUUGGAAACCCUUGGCUGAAAAAUACCAUAUCCUUUCUCCCUUUGAGUCCGUACAGGAUUUCUUCAAAUCGACUCCCGGAUGGCCUUGAUCACUUUGGAAGUCUUUUUGGACUUUAGUUAUCCGUAACGAUAUUUCUUUAUAGCGUUUAAAUGUUCCAAAAAAAAACA